CAACGCCGCGUGGGGGACGAAGGCCUUCGGGUUGUAAACCUCUUUCAGCAGGGACGAUUGUGACGGUACCUGCAGAAGAAGCCCCGGCCAACUACGUGC
rnacentral:rRNA from 1 species